rnacentral:tRNA from 1 species
GCCUGGGAGGCUCAGUCGGUUGAGCGUCUGACUUCCGCUCAGGUCAUGAUCUCACGGUUCGUGAGUUCGACCCCACAUCGGGCU